UAAUACAGAGGGUGCGAGCGUUAAUCGGAAUUACUGGGCGUAAAGGGCGCGUAGGCGGUUAUUUAAGUUAGAUGUGAAAUCCCUGGGCUUAACCUAGGAACUGCAUCUGAUACUGGAUAGCUAGAGUGCAGUAGAGGGUAGUGGAAUUUCCGGUGUAGCGGUGAAAUGCGUAGAUAUCGGAAGGAACACCAGUGGCGAAGGCGGCUACCUGGACUGACACUGACGCUGAGGCGCGAGAGCGUGGGGAGCAAACAGGAUUAGAUACCCUGGUAGUCCACGCUGUAAACGAUGAGAACUAGAUGUUGGUAGGCUUGACCUAUUAGUAUCGAAGCUAACGCAAUAAGUUCUCCGCCUGGGGAGUACGGCCGCAAGGUUA
rnacentral:rRNA from 1 species